rnacentral:rRNA from 1 species
UACGGAGGGUGCAAGCGUUAUCCGGAUUCACUGGGUUUAAAGGGUGCGUAGGUGGGUUGGUAAGUCAGUGGUGAAAUCUCCAGGCUUAACUUGGAAACUGCCAUUGAUACUAUCAAUCUUGAAUACCGUGGAGGUCAGCGGAAUAUGUCAUGUAGCGGUGAAAUGCUUAGAUAUGACAUAGAACACCUAUUGCGAAGGCAGCAAACUACGCAUAUAUUGACGCUGAGGCACGAAAGCGUGGGGAUCAAACAGG